rnacentral:rRNA from 1 species
GAUGAACGCUGGCGGCGUGCCUAAUACAUGCAAGUCGAGCGAACAGAUGAGGAGCUUGCUCCUCUGACGUUAGCGGCGGACGGGUGAGUAACACGUGGAUAACCUACCUAUAAGACUGGGAUAACUUCGGGAAACCGGAGCUAAUACCGGAUAAUAUAUUGAACCGCAUGGUUCAAUAGUGAAAGACGGUUUUGCCGUCACUUAUAGAUGGAUCCGCGCCGCAUUAGCUAGUUGGUAAGGUAACGGCUUACCAAGGCAACGAUGCGUAGCCGACCUGAGAGGGUGAUCCGCCACACUGGAACUGAGACACGGUCCAGACUCCUACGGGAGGCAGCAGUAGGGAAUCUUCCGCAAUGGGCGAAAGCCUGACGGAGCAACGCCGCGUGAGUGAUGAAGGUCUUCGGAUCGUAAAACUCUGUUAUUAGGGAAGAACAAAUGUGUAAGUAACUAUGCACGUCUUGACGGUACCUAAUCAGAAAGCCACGGCUAACUACGUG